GUGGCGGGAUGCUUACCAUGCAAGUCGAACGAUGAAGCCCAGCUUGCUGGGUGGAUUAGUGGCGAACGGGUGAGUAACACGUGGGUGAUCUGCCCUGCACUCUGGGAUAAGCCUGGGAAACUGGGUCUAAUACCGGAUAUGACCUCUUGCUGCAUGGCGAGGGGUGGAAAGUUUUUCGGUGCAGGAUGAGCCCGCGGCCUAUCAGCUUGUUGGUGGGGUAAUGGCCUACCAAGGCGACGACGGGUAGCCGGCCUGAGAGGGCGACCGGCCACACUGGGACUGAGACACGGCCCAGACUCCUACGGGAGGCAGCAGUGGGGAAUAUUGCACAAUGGGCGAAAGCCUGAUGCAGCGACGCCGCGUGAGGGAUGACGGCCUUCGGGUUGUAAACCUCUUUCAGCAGGGACGAAGCGAAAGUGACGGUACCUGCAGAAGAAGCACCGGCCAACUACGUGCCAGCAGCCGCGGUAAUACGUAGGGUGCGAGCGUUGUCCGGAAUUACUGGGCGUAAAGAGCUCGUAGGCGGUUUGUCGCGUCGUCUGUGAAAUCCCGCAGCUCAACUGCGGGCUUGCAGGCGAUACGGGCAGACUCGAGUACUGCAGGGGAGACUGGAAUUCCUGGUGUAGCGGUGAAAUGCGCAGAUAUCAGGAGGAACACCGGUGGCGAAGGCGGGUCUCUGGGCAGUAACUGACGCUGAGGAGCGAAAGCGUGGGUAGCGAACAGGAUUAGAUACCCUGGUAGUCCACGCCGUAAACGGUGGGCGCUAGGUGUGGGUUUCCUUCCACGGGAUCCGUGCCGUAGCCAACGCAUUAAGCGCCCCGCCUGGGGAGUACGGCCGCAAGGCUAAAACUCAAGAAAAUUGGACGGG
rnacentral:rRNA from 1 species